UGCCAGAGAGGCCUCAGACCUUAGAGC
rnacentral:piRNA from 1 species